AAAAACAUCAUAGAUGUGGAUGAAUAGAAUUACAUUUUAUUGAUGAUAAAAUUGAAAAUGCCCAACAAUGUUCACUUCUCCCUUAGGCAUAGGAGAAGGAUUUUCUUAAAAUAAUGAAAAAACGAAUUACUUAGAGCAAUGGACAAUAAUAGGAACAUCCACAGCAACCCAAUUGUUGCAAGCCUUUACAUGCAUUACAAAAUUGGCGCAGUCUUCAUCUUCAUCACCCUCGAUCACAGCAGCUGAGUGUUGUUCAUUACCAUGGAUGAAC
rnacentral:lncRNA from 1 species